GUGGCGCCCAGCAGUUGCGCACCAGCACCAGCUGCUGGUCCAGAGGGAGCACCUGGAAGCAGGAGAUGACGGUAUUAGAAGGUGGAGCCUCUGGGACGUGCCUCCGUCCUUAGGCUGGAGCCUUCACGCAUGGGAUCAGUGCUUUAGAAAAGAGGCUUCCAAGAGCCCCCUACCCCUUCUGCUACGUGAGGAUCCAAUGAGAAGGCUGCAGGCUGGAAGAAGGCCUUCACUGACAACGCUGGCACUUGCGUCCUGAACUCCAGUCUCCAGAGCGGUUCUUGUCUUACAAUGAAGUUAAGAUAUGUCUUAUCUCCUUGGCACUUCUGGAAGAUCUGUCUUAGCUCCUUCAAUGGCAUCAUAGGUGAGUAGAAAAGCUACAGUUUUGUUUUUUUCUUAU